rnacentral:rRNA from 1 species
UACGAAGGGGGCUAGCGUUGCUCGGAAUCACUGGGCGUAAAGGGUGCGUAGGCGGGUCUUUAAGUCAGGGGUGAAAUCCUGGAGCUCAACUCCAGAACUGCCUUUGAUACUGAGGAUCUUGAGUCUCGGGGAGAGGUGAGUGGAACUGCGAGUGUAGAGGUGAAAUUCGUAGAUAUUCGCAAGAACACCAGUGGCGAAGGCGGCUCACUGGCCCGAUACUGACGCUGAGGCACGAAAGCGUGGGGAGCAAACAGGG